AAAUGGUAUUGUAAAUUGAGAAAACUUAUCAACAAUACUAAAUAAUUGCCGGGCCGUAUUUACUAUAAGGAAUUUACUAUUCAUACAUGAAUUAGAUUGAAUGGUCAAAGAGAAAAAUGAAUUAAAAAAGCUUCCAGUAAUUACAUUAUUUCUUAUUAAAAUUUUUCUAUCCAUCCUAUUCAUUUUGACAUUUUUUUAUCAUCAUUGAACCGUAUUCUUCGUAUACCCUUGUGUUUUUCUUUAUAC